CUUCCGUAGGUGAACCUGCGGAAGGAUCAUUACCGAGUGCGGGCCCUCGUGGCCCAACCUCCCACCCUUGUCUCUAUACACCCGUUGCUUUGGCGGGCCCACCGGGGCCACCUGGUCGCCGGGGGACGUUCGUCCCCGGGCCCGCGCCCGCCGAAGCGCUCUGUGAACCCUGAUGAAGAUGGGCUGUCUGAGUACUAUGAAAAUUGUCAAAACUUUCAACAAUGGAUCUCUUGGUUCCGGCAUCGAUGAAGAACGCAGCGAAAUGCGAUAAGUAAUGUGAAUUGCAGAAUUCCGUGAAUCAUCGAAUCUUUGAACGCACAUUGCGCCCCCUGGCAUUCCGGGGGGCAUGCCUGUCCGAGCGUCAUUUCUGCCCUCAAGCACGGCUUGUGUGUUGGGUGUGGUCCCCCCGGGGACCUGCCCGAAAGGCAGCGGCGACGUCCGUCUGGUCCUCGAGCGUAUGGGGCUCUGUCACUCGCUCGGGAAGGACCUGCGGGGGUUGGUCACCACCAUAUUUUACCACGGUUGACCUCGGAUCAGGUAGGAGUUACCCGCUGAACUUAAGCAUAUCAAUAAGCGGA
rnacentral:rRNA from 1 species